GUCAGUGUGGCAUAGUGGUUUAAGCAUUGGACUAUGACUCUGAAGGCUAGGGUUCAAAUCUAAGCUCACCCA